UCAUUUAUUUGAAAAGAUUCUCAAGCAGAGGAAACCAUAACCAUUCUAGGAUAAUCCCUUAGUGGAGGCGAAGGAGUGUCAGUGAUUUCACAAACAGGGGAAGAAGAUCGGUUGAGGUGCACCAAUCACAUUUGUGUGCGACUGUUCCUUGUCUUGCCGUCUCGCACGUGCCGUGUGCUAGUGGAAGACGCGGAAAAAACAAACUUGUGCUUGUACUGCCGACGAGUUGGGCCGGCAGGUGAACUUGAAGUUGACCGUCGGACAGAGGUGAAACGGCAUUUGGUUGGAAAAUUGGGGAUGAGAGGAGAGCAAGCAUAAGGAAAGAAUCACUCCAUUAAUAUAUACAUCCACAUAGACAUAUAUGCUGCCUGCGGAUGCCGAGAUCCGUGAUGAAGAAGAAGAAGAAGAAGAGGAAGAAGAAGAAAAAUCCAAACAGGAAGAAAGCAAUCCCCUCUUAGCGCAAACAUCCAAUAUACCGUUUUUGCAUGAUGAUGGCUACCGUUGGCAAUGCUAUGGCAAAAGACAAAAUCAUCAUGGAAAGAAAUGUAGCUAUUACGAGUGUUCAUUAUGGCCUAACUGCCGAGCAAAAAAGCGAAUAGUACAAUUGCUUGAUGGGAGGACUUUAAUUACUUACAAGGGUGAGCAUCAUCAUUCUAAUGGAUCUUCAACAGAUGCUACACAAGGAAAUUGACGGUGAGCAGAUGAACUUACAAUGGCGCACAGCUUGGAAGCCCUUUGGCCACGAAUUAAAAAAAUUCUUUAUCUACUUCAUCUGUUGAAGAAUAGAAGAAUGGUUAUGCAUUUUGGAAAAUGCUUUACAAAUAAAAGAUUUUUGUGAAUUUUAUACAAUGAAAAGGUGAUUAUGAAUUUGACUUUGCUGUGGAAGAGCUGAAGAGGUGAACUUGUUUUGCGCAUAUAGCAUCACUCACACUUAAAUCAAUGCAUGAAUCAAUAUAUAUUGGCAAAACACCAAUAUUUGUUAAGAGGAAAAUUGAUGUAACCUGUUCAUGUAUAUUAAUUAGUUCUUGUACACUUAUGAUUCUUGACAUGGAUGGAAGAAUUUUAUUGCAAUACUAGUUUGGGUUUUAAUUUGUA